UACGUAGGGUGCGAGCGUUAAUCGGAAUUACUGGGCGUAAAGCGUGCGCAGGCGGCUAUAUAAGACAGAUGUGAAAUCCCCGGGCUCAACCCGGGAACUGCAUUUGUGACUGUAUAGCUAGAGGACGGGAGGGGGGGAUGGAAUUCCCCGUGUAGCAGUGAAAUGCGUAGAUAUGGGGAGGAACACCGAUGGCGAAGGCAAUCCCCUGGACCUGUACUGACGCUCAUGCACGAAAGCGUGGGGAGCAAACAGGAUUAGAUACCCUGGUAGUCCACGCCCUAAACGAUGUCAACUGGUUGUUGGGUCUUCACUGACUCAGUAACGAAGCUAACGCGUGAAGUUGACCGCCUGGGGAGUACGGCCGCAAGGUUG
rnacentral:rRNA from 1 species